GAUGAACGCUAGCGGCAGGCCUAAUACAUGCAAGUCGGACGGGAUUCAGGAGCUUGCUUCUGAUGAGAGUGGCGCACGGGUGCGUAACACGUAUGUAACCUACCUUUAUCAGGGGGAUAGCCUCUCGAAAGAGAGAUUAAGCCCGCAUAAAAUCACAGCACAGCAUUGUGUAAUGAUCAAAUAUUUAUAGGAUAAAGAUGGGCAUGCGGAACAUUAGCUAGCUGGCGGGGUAACGGCCCACCAUGGCGACGAUGUUUAGGGGAUCUGAGGGGAUGGCCCCCCACACUGGUAAUGAGACACGGACCAGACUCGGACGCGAGGCAGCAGUAAGGAAUAUUGGUCAAGGGGCGGAAGACUGAACCAGCCAUGCCGCGUGCAGGAAGACGGCCGUACGGGUUGUAAUCUGCUUUUAUACGGGAACAAAACCAGAUACGUGUAUCUGGCUGAAUGUACUGUAAGAAUAAGGACCGGCUAACUCCGUG
rnacentral:rRNA from 1 species